CGUGUAGGCGGCCGGAUAAGUAUGGAGUGAAAGUCCUGUUUUCAAGGUGGGAAUUGCUUUGUAGACUGUCUGGCUUGAGUGCGGAAGAGGUAAGUGGAAUUCCCAGUGUAGCGGUGAAAUGCGUAGAGAUUGGGAGGAACACCAGUGGCGAAGGCGACUUACUGGGCCGUAACUGACGCUGAGGCGCGAAAGCGUGGGGAGCAAACA
rnacentral:rRNA from 1 species